UCCCGUGUGGCUCAGUCGGUAAAGAAUCCGCCUUCAACGCAGGAGGCCCAGGUUUGAUACCUGGGAGGGGAA
rnacentral:tRNA from 1 species